GCGGGCCCUACAAAUUGCAAGUUCGAACGGUAGCACAGAGAGCUUGCUCUCGGGUGACGAGUGGCGGACGGGUGAGUAAUGUCUGGGAAACUGCCUGAUGGAGGGGGAUAACUACUGGAAACGGUAGCUAAUACCGCAUAACGUCGCAAGACCAAAGUGGGGGACCUUCGGGCCUCUUGCCAUCGGAUGUGCCCAGAUGGGAUUAGCUUGUAGGUGAGGUAACGGCUCACCUAGGCGACGAUCCCUAGCUGGUCUGAGAGGAUGACCAGCCACACUGGAACUGAGACACGGUCCAUACUCCUACGGGAGGCAGCAGUGGGGAAU
rnacentral:rRNA from 1 species